AGCUAAUGCACAUGGCGGUUUUCCUCCCAGUGCCGCCGCACUAGCUGUUCCCCUCUGGAGGUU
rnacentral:ncRNA from 1 species